AGAGGUAGAGAUGAUAUGACAUGUAGUUAUGCCCAUGUGGCAGUAGUUCUAUGUAUAUGUACCAUCCAUAUACAAUUGAAUACAUAGAGAGAAAGUUCUUCCUCCUUGUGUGCGUCUCUCCGCUUCUAACAGAUGCCAUCAUGUGCAGCAUUGGUCCUGCAUCCGAGAAAUGCCAGGCAAUCCAGGCAUUGUAUUUCCUUUAGACCAUGGCAUACGAUGCUGAAGCUCUUGCUACAGCAAACAUUCGAUUGCCUAAGGAGUUUUUAUCUCUAAUUGUCAAUUGUAAUGUCCCUGAUAGGUGUCUCCAUUCCCUGACAAAUGACGGUAAGAUCCGGCAGGUCAUUUUCUUAAAAACAGAUGGAAGAAAAGCUGAAGCAUUGGUAAACAGAGACUACUUGGCAUUUCCACUAAUUUUCAGUGGUUUUAGCAGCCAGCAGAGGUGUCAAACUUGCACUACCAACUUCCAAAUUUUCUGUGCUCACAGACGAAGAUCGAGGCCGUCACAACCUGUGAUUGCAAGGUAACAAGUAUCCUUUUUGGAAUUCUUCAAAAUCGGGACAGGAAGUCG
rnacentral:lncRNA from 1 species